AAAAAAACGUGAAUUCAUUCCCCUCAAAAAGCGACUGGAGAUGCAGCAGACUGGGGGAAGGUCUCCUCGCCGUGUAGAGGACCAUUUGCCAGAACCCUCUGAUAAUGUUUGGUUCACAAAGUACUACAAGUGGAAGGUGUAUAGUGUAUGCGAUGCUAUUGC